rnacentral:tRNA from 1 species
GGGGGUAUGGGGCUGUCGCCCCUGCUGGUCUGCAAAACCAGUAUCACGGUAAAAAGCUUGAUGGAAGCUGUCGUGGUGGGUUCAAUUCCCACUACCCCUCUCCA